AGAUUGAACGCUGGCGGCAGGCCUAACACAUGCAAGUCGAGCGGAUGAAGAGAGCUUGCUCUCUGAUUCAGCGGCGGACGGGUGAGUAAUGCCUAGGAAUCUGCCUGGUAGUGGGGGACAACGUUUCGAAAGGAACGCUAAUACCGCAUACGUCCUACGGGAGAAAGCAGGGGACCUUCGGGCCUUGCGCUAUCAGAUGAGCCUAGGUCGAUUAGCUAGUUGGUGAGGUAAUGGCUCACCAAGGCGACGAUCCGUAACUGGUCUGAGAGGAUGAUCAGUCACAC
rnacentral:rRNA from 1 species